UACGUAGGGGGGCGAGCGUUGUCCGGAAUCAUUUGGGCGUAAAGAGCUCGUAGGCGGUUCAGUAAGUCGGCUGUGAAAUUCCGAGGCUCAACCUCGGAACUGCAGUCGAUACUAUUGUGACUAGAGUCCGGUAGAGGAGAAUGGAAUUCCCGGUGUAGCGGUGAAAUGCGCAGAUAUUGGGAAGAACACCGAUGGCGAAGGCAGCCAUCAUGGGACCGACACUGGACCGCUGAGGCGCGAAAAGCGUGGG
rnacentral:rRNA from 1 species